AGCUGGCAUCAUGAUGAACUGACUUUUUCUUCUUCACAAAGAUCCUUUCGCCGAGGAUGACAAUAUUAAACUGAAGCUGAUUCUAGCUUUGCUGAACGACUGAUAUACAUCGGCUCGUCUGGCAUUUCUUCUAUUGUUCGGAGUUGAUCAUCAUUAGGACAGCUAACAUCACGGGUCGCAUAACUUGCUUCAGCUGGAUACCCGUAACGGUUGACCGGGACGUGAGGCUCCUACAAUAUCGUCGCCCACUGUGCCUCUUCCACUUUUAACAUGCCGAAACUGGAUUUGAGAAAAAUGAAAGACUAAGGAAGACGCAAACCUUGACGACGUCAUAUAGCUGUGCACAUUGAAAUAAUAUCACAACAGAAAUGAAAUAGGAAAUUAUUCUUCAAGUUCCAUAACCUGUUUUAACAUCAAAGAUAAAAACACUUAAGGAAGUACCUAUAUUCCGCAUUUGCCGCUGCGUCGAGCUUUGUUUCAUGAAGAUGUGGAGCUCAAGGUAUAAAUGUCUGGCUAACCUUUAUCUUGGAACAGUUGUACACACUGAAAUUGUAGUGUUUCUGUUUGCAUUCUGCUCUCCACAUAUCUGUAGUCUAAUUAUUUUUUUCUUACUCCCUAUCAGUACGGAUAGAUCCUGAUUUAAUCGGGUAGGUUUUCGGUCGUUUAAUUGUGCCAUUUUGGUUUUCGAGUUUUUGGCGCGGUUCGUUUGUUUUUCUAAGUUUACCUAAUGAAAAAUCGAUUAUGCAAUGUGAGCAAUCGAUUGCCAUAAAUCAGCGAAGACGAGGCAUCAGGAGGUGUUAAAUGGCGGAAUAAAGCUCGCUGGUGUCGUCAUAAAUUUUUUGUUUCACUUUCU
rnacentral:lncRNA from 1 species